rnacentral:lncRNA from 1 species
GUUUUAGCUCUUACAUUUAGGUUGAUGAUCCAUUUCGUAUAUGGUAUGAGGAAAACAAAACAAAACAAAAACAAUAAAACCUCCUUUGCUUUGAACUUGUGGAAGAAACUGAGUCAGGCCAUUAGAUCUGGCAGUUUGAACACCGUCUCCAAGGCAUGAUCAGGCCGGGCGGAAGUGCGGCAUUCACCUCAUCUUUAAAAAAGCCAACCUGAAUAAAGGACCAUCUAGUGUGUUUGCUUAUUAUGGGGGGCAGUAGAACCAAAGAGGUAAGAGUCUGGGCUUUAAUGCCAAAUCCACUUAGGUUUGGAUCCCAUUAAGUAACUGUGUGAUUUGGGGCAAAGUUACCUCUCUAAGCCUCAGUUUCCUCACACAUAAAAUAGGAAUAAUAAUAAUAACACUGCCUGCCUCAUAGGGUUAUAGAAUUCAAUGAGAUAAUAUGGGAAAAGAACUUGGCACAAUCUCAUAGUCCACAACCAAUAAAAAUUAGUUAUUAGCUUGAUUGACAAAUUUCAAGCCGGGGUUUUUUUCAGGCUAAUAUUGUAC